GACGAACGCUGGCGGCGUGCUUAACACAUGCAAGUCGAGCGGUAAGGCCCUUUCGGGGGUACACGAGCGGCGAACGGGUGAGUAACACGUGGGUGACCUGCCCUCAGCUCUGGGAUAAGCCCGGGAAACUGGGUCUAAUACUGGAUAUGACUCCACGGUGCAUGCCGUGGGGUGGAAAGCCUUGUGCGGCUGAGGAUGGGCCCGCGGCCUAUCAGCUUGUUGGUGGGGUGAUGGCCUACCAAGGCGACGACGGGUAGCCGGCCUGAGAGGGCGACCGGCCACACUGGGACUGAGACACGGCCCAGACUCCUACGGGAGGCAGCAGUGGGGAAUCUUGCGCAAUGGGCGAAAGCCUGACGCGGCGACGCCGCGUGAGGGAUGACGGCCU
rnacentral:rRNA from 1 species